GUCUGGGUAGUUCAGCAGGUAGAACGCGUGGCUGUUAACCAUGAGGUCGAUGGUUCGAGUCCAUCCCCAGACG
rnacentral:tRNA from 1 species